rnacentral:rRNA from 1 species
GAUGAACGCUAGCUACAGGCUUAACACAUGCAAGUCGCGGGGCAGCAUGGGGGUUGCUUGCAACUCCCGAUGGCGACCGGCGCACGGGUGAGUAACGCGUAUCCAACCUGCCCUUCACCGCGGGAUAACCCGGCGAAAGUCGGACUAAUACCGUAUGUUGUCCAUUGACGGCAUCCGAUUUGGACGAAAGGCUUUGCGGUGAAGGAUGGGGAUGCGUCCGAUUAGCCAGACGGCGGGGUAACGGCCCACCGUGGCUACGAUCGGUAGGGGUUCUGAGAGGAAGGUCCCCCACACUGGAACUGAGACACGGUCCAGACUCCUACGGGAGGCAGCAGUGAGGAAUAUUGGUCAAUGGGCGUAAGCCUGAACCAGCCAAGUAGCGUGCAGGAUGACGGCCCUAUGGGUUGUAAACUGCUUUUAUGCGGGGAUAAAGUGGCCCACGGGUGGGCUUUUGCAGGUACCGCAUGAAUAAGGACCGGCCAAUUCCGUG